UACGAAGGGGGGCGAGCGUUGUUCGGAUUUACUGGGCGUAAAGGGCGCGCAGGCGGUCUUGAAAGUCAGGCGUGAAAGCCCCGGGCUUAACCUGGGAAUUGCGCUUGAUACUCUGAGACUGGAGUACGGGAGAGGAGAGUGGAAUUCCCAGUGUAGAGGUGAAAUUCGUAGAUAUUGGGAAGAACACCAGUGGCGAAGGCGGCCUUCUGGACAGUGACUGACGCUGAGAUGCGAAAGCGUGGGGAGCAAACAGG
rnacentral:rRNA from 1 species